AUUGAACGCUGGCGGCGUGCCUAACACAUGCAAGUCGAACGAGAGAGCGGGGGCAACUCCGCGAGUAAAGUGGCGACCGGGUGAGUAACACGUGACCAACCUACCCUCGAGUGGGGAAUAACCCUGGGAAACCGGGGCUAAUACCGCAUAACCUCCCUGGCUGGGACGCCGGGGAGCAAAGGCGCAAGUCGCUUGGGGAGGGGGUCGCGGCCGAUUAGCUGGUUGGCGGGGUAACGGCCCACCAAGGCGAUGAUCGGUAGCCGGCCUGAGAGGGCGAACGGCCACACUGGAACUGAAACACGGUCCAGACUCCUACGGGAGGCAGCAGUGGGGAAUUUUGCGCAAUGGGGGAAACCCUGACGCAGCAACGCCGCGUGGAGGAUGAAGUCCCUUGGGACGUAAACUCCUUUCGAUCGGGACGAUAGUGACGGUACCGGAAGAAGAAGCCCCGGCUAACUCCGUGCCAGCAGCCGCCGUAACAC
rnacentral:rRNA from 1 species